GCCAGUAUGGCAUAGUGGUUUGAGUGUUGGACUAGAACAUCUGAAGACCAGGGUUCGAGUCCCAUCUAGGCC